GGCUCAUGGAAUUGGCGACGAGAAUGGUCAUAUGGACGAUGAAGAUCCUGCCAGCGAUUGGGAAGAUAAAUUAGGAGGGAAUGUGCCACCUAGCAACAAGCGGAUGUAUGCAUUAAGAGCCAAUCCCAAUCGAUUUAAGAGUUGUCGUGCUUGUGAAAAUUGUGGCAAGGAAUUUUUAUCAUGGAAAUCCUUUCUUGAACAC
rnacentral:misc_RNA from 1 species